GGCGCAGUGGCCAAGCGGUAAGGCAGCGGUCUCGUAAACCGAAGAUUAUGGGUUCGACCCCCAUCUGUGCCU